rnacentral:rRNA from 1 species
GUGAAAUCCCGGGGCUCAACCCCGGAACUGCAUCCGAUACUGCCGUGCUAGAGGAUUGGAGAGGUAGCUGGAAUUCACGGUGUAGCAGUGAAAUGCGUAGAUAUCGUGAGGAACACUCGUGGCGAAAGCGAGCUACUGGACAACUCCUGACGCUGAGGCUCGAAGGCUAGGGUAGCGAAAGGGAUUAGAUACCCCUGUAGUCCUAGCAGUAAACGGUGCACGCUUGGUGUGAGGGGAAUCGACCCCCCUUGUGCCGGAGCUAACGCGUUAAGCGUGCCGCCUGGGAAGUACGGUCGCAAGACUAAAACUCAAAGAAAUUGACGGGGACCCGCACAAGCGGUGGAGUAUGUGGCUUAAUUCGAUGCAACGCGAAGAACCUUACCAAGGCUUGACAUGGAUUUCUAAGCACGUGAAAGCGUGUGACCCUUCGGGGAACUUCCCAGGUGCUGCAUGGCCGUCGUCAGCUCGUGUCGUGAAAUGUUGGGUUAAGUCCCGCAACGA